rnacentral:rRNA from 1 species
CCUACGGGUGGCAGCAGUCGAGAAUCAUUCACAAUGGGGGAAACCCUGAUGGUGCGACGCCGCGUGGGGGAAUGAAGGUCUUCGGAUUGUAAACCCCUGUCAUGUGGGAGCAAAUUAAAAAGAUAGUACCACAAGAGGAAGAGACGGCUAACUCUGUGCCAGCAGCCGCGGUAAUACAGAGGUAUCAAGCGUUGUUCGGAAUCACUGGGCGUAAGGCGUGCGUAGGCUGUUUCGUAAGUCGUGUGUGAAAGGCGCGGGCUCAACCCGCGGACGGCACAUGAUACUGCGAGACUAGAGUAAUGGAGGGGGAACCGGAAUUCUCGGUGUAGCAGUGAAAUGCGUAGAUAUCGAGAGGAACACUCGUGGCGAAGGCGGGUUCCUGGACAUUAACUGACGCUGAGGCACGAAGGCCAGGGGAGCGAAAGGGAUUAGAUACCCGUGUAGUC